CUUUUUUUUUAUUUUUUUUUAUUUUUUAUUUAUUUAUAAUAGUCACACAGAGAGAGAGAGAGAGAGGCAGAGACAUAGGCAGAGGGAGAAGCAGGCUUCAUGCACCGGGAGCCCGAUGUGGGAUUCGAUCCCGGGUCUCCAGGAUCACGCCCUGGGCCAAAGGCAGGCGCCAAACCGCUGCGCCACCCAGGGAUCCCUGUAUUUUGGUCUUUAUGUAAGUUUAUUUAUAAGUAAAUGAAUGACAGCAAUGAUACAAGGAACUGGAGGAAAGAUUAGAAAAUAUUUUUUUUCUUAAUAUAUAUAUAUUAAAAUACACAAACAUUUUAAGGUGCUCACAGUACUCAUGAAGGGACACAGUGUUAACUGAAAGUGACUUGAAUUUUGUAAAUGUAUACUGCAAACUCUAGAGAAACCACUAAAAAAAGGUUUAAAAAAAGAAGCACAAUUAGAAUGCUAAGUAAGGAAAUAAAAUGAAAUCAUGUAAGUGUUCAACUCAAACCACAAAAUGCAGAAAAAUGUGGAAGACAAAAAAAGAAAUAAAGAACAACAGCAACAAAUAAAAUAUAUAUUCAUCUAACUAUAUUUAUCAUUACCUUAAAAGUAAAUGGUCUAAAUACACAAAGUAAAAGAAAUAGCCAGAAUAAAUAAAAAAACAAGACUCAACUAUAUGGUAAUAUAUAUAUGCACACACACACACAUAUAUAUACACACACAUAUAUACAUAUAUAUAGUAAACAUAAUAUAUAUGUAUAUUAAGUAUAUGCAUAUAUACAUAUUAUAUACAUAAUAUGUAAAUUUAUAUAAAAUAUAAAUAUGUGGAAAGAUACACCAUGCUAAUAUGUAAUAAAAACAAAGUGGCAGUAAUAAUAUUAAUUUCAGAGAGAGGAAGAGAAGAAACUUCAGAACAAGAAAGUUAUCAGGGAUAAAGCAGGGCAUUACAUAACAAUAAAGAGAUUAAUACUCCAAGAAGACAUAACAUUCUUUCAUGUGUAGUGAAUAACAACGAAGCUUCAAAAUACAUGACAAAAAUUGGUUAGAGCUGCAAGGAGAAAUAGAUUAAUCCACUAUUAUAGUUGGAGGUUUAACAUCCUUCUAACAAAAAUGGACUCAACAGCACCAUCAAUCAACUAGCUGGACACCUAUAGACUACUUCAUUCAACCAGAGCAGAUUACACCUUGUUCUUAAGCUCACAUGUAAUAUUCACAAAGAUAGACCACAUUCUGGGUCACAUCCUAACAAAUUUAAAAGAACAGAAAACAUACAAUGUCUUCUCUCAUACCAAAAUAGAAUUAAACUUGAAAUCAGUAACAGAAAGAUAUCUGGAAAAUCCUAUAAUACAUUAAGGUUAAAUAAAAGAAUUCUAAAUAACACAUGGAUCAAAGGAAAAAUCUCAAGAGAAAUUGAAAAGUAAAGUUGACCCUUGAAUAACACAGGGUUUAGUGGCACUUACUCCUCAAAUACUUGAAAAUCUGCAUAUAACUUUUGACUCUCCCAAUAUUUAACUACUAAUAGCCAACUGUUGGCUAGAAGCAUAAUAUAAUAUAACAUAAACAGUUGAAUAACACAUGUUUUCUAUAUUAUAUCUAUUACAUACUAUAUUCUUACAAUAAAGGAAGCUAGAGAAAAGAAAAUGUUAUUAAGAAAAUCAUAGAAAAAAUACAUUUGCAGUACUAUACUGUAUUUGUUUAAAAAAAAAUCCACAUAUAAUGGGUCAUAAGUAGUUCAAAGCCAUGUUGUUCAAGAUUCACCCUGGUUUUGAAAUAAAUGGAAAUGAAACUGUAACUUAUCAAGAUUUUAAAAUGCAGCAAAAACAAUGUUUAAAGUUAAAUUUUAAUACUGAGUACAUAUAUCAGAAAAGAAAAAUCUAAAAUUAAUAAUCUAAGUUUCUACCUUAGGAAACCAAACAAAGAAGAGCAAAUAAAAUUCUAAAUAAGUAGAAAAAAUAAAAAGUUACAAUUAGAGCUGAAAUCAAUGAUAUUGAAAAUGAAAAAUCAAUAGAGAAGAAUAACUAAACAAAAACACUUUAAAAAAAAUCAGUAAUUUCAGUAAGACUCUAGCCAGGCUAACAAGAAAGUAAGAGAGUAAACCCAAAUUACUAAUAUUAGAAAUGGAAGAGGGGACAUCACUACAGAUCCCAUGGACAUUUAAAAGAUAAUAAAGCAAUAUAUAAAUAACACUAUGCCCCCAAAUUUGAUAAUCUAUAUAAAAUGAGCCAAUCCCUUGAUAGACACAUUCUGCCAAAACUUGGACACACACACAAAAAAAUGCACAAUCUGAAUAGAUCUAUCUCUAUUACAGAAAUUGAAGCCAUAAUUUACAACCUUCCCAAAGAAGGUUUCCAAAUAAUCUUUCCAAAAGAAAAGGUGAUAAAUUCACUGGUGAAUUC
rnacentral:lncRNA from 1 species